rfam:Gossypium hirsutum cultivar TM-1 chromosome 18, whole genome shotgun sequence
CAUUAGAAAUUACAUUCAUUUGUAUGGUUAAAAACUAGUGUGAUUAACGGAAUAACUAGACAGUGACACAUGGUGUGUCACUUUUAUCUCAUGUUGAUCUACAGGGAUCAAUUUUUAACAGUAAGAAUGAAUGAAAUUUUUAACA